rnacentral:rRNA from 1 species
UACAGAGGUCUCGAGCGUUGUUCGGAUUCAUUGGGCGUAAAGCGCACGUAGGCGGCGCUGCAAGUCCCAUGUGAAAGCCCCACGGCUUAACCGUGGAAGUGCAUGGGAAACUGCAGUGCUUGAGUACUUAAGAGGAUCGCGGAAUUCCCGGUGUAGAGGUGAAAUUCGUAGAUAUCGGGAGGAACACCAGUGGCGAAGGCGGCGAUCUGGGAAGAUACUGACGCUGAGGUGCGAAAGCGUGGGGAGCAAACAGG